rnacentral:rRNA from 1 species
AGAGUUUGAUCAUGGCUCAGAUUGAACGCUGGCGGCAGGCCUAACACAUGCAAGUCGAACGGUAACAUUUCUAGCUUGCUAGAAGAUGACGAGUGGCGGACGGGUGAGUAAUACUUAGGAAUAUGCCUUUGUGUGGGGGAUAACCAUUGGAAACGAUGGCUAAUACCGCAUAACGUCUUCGGACCAAAGGGGGCUUCGGCUCCCGCGCAAAGAGUAGCCUAAGCGAGAUUAGCUUGUUGGUGAGGUAAAGGCUCACCAAGGCGACGAUCUCUAGCUGUUCUGAGAGGAAGAUCAGCCACACUGGAACUGAGACACGGUCCAGACUCCUACGGGAGGCAGCAGUGGGGAAUAUUGCACAAUGGGGGAAACCCUGAUGCAGCCAUGCCGCGUGUGUGAAGAAGGCCUUCGGGUUGUAAAGCACUUUCAGUUGUGAGGAAAGGUUAACGGUUAAUACCCGUUAGCUGUGACGUUAGCAACAGAAGAAGGACCGGCUAACUCCGUGCCAGCAGCCGCGGUAAUACGGAGGGUCCGAGCGUUAAUCGGAAUUACUGGGCGUAAAGCGCACGCAGGCGGUUUGUUAAGCUAGAUGUGAAAGCCCCGGGCUCAACCUGGGACGGUCAUUUAGAACUGGCAGACUAGAGUCUUGGAGAGGGGAGUGGAAUUCCAGGUGUAGCGGUGAAAUGCGUAGAUAUCUGGAGGAACAUCAGUGGCGAAGGCGACUCCCUGGUCAGUAACUGACGCUCAUGUGCGAAAGUGUGGGUAGCGAACAGGAUUAGAUACCCUGGUAGUCCACACCGUAAACGCUGUCUACUAGCUGUUUGUGGAUUUAAUCCGUGAGUAGCGAAGCUAACGCGAUAAGUAGACCGCCUGGGGAGUACGGCCGCAAGGUUAAAACUCAAAUGAAUUGACGGGGGCCCGCACAAGCGGUGGAGCAUGUGGUUUAAUUCGACGCAACGCGAAGAACCUUACCUGGUCUUGACAUCCUAGGAACUUUCCAGAGAUGGAUUGGUGCCUUCGGGAACGUAGUGACAGGUGCUGCAUGGCUGUCGUCAGCUCGUGUCGUGAGAUGUUGGGUUAAGUCCCGCAACGAGCGCAACCCUCGUCCUAUGUUGCCAGCACGUCAUGGUGGGGACUCAUAGGAGACUGCCGGGGUCAACUCGGAGGAAGGUGGGGAUGACGUCAAGUCAUCAUGCCCCUUAUGUCCAGGGCUUCACGCAUGCUACAAUGGCCGGUACAAAGGGCUGCGAUCCCGUGAGGGGGAGCGAAUCCCAAAAAGCCGGUCUCAGUUCGGAUUGGGGUCUGCAACUCGACCCCAUGAAGUCGGAGUCGCUAGUAAUCGCAGAUCAGCAACGCUGCGGUGAAUACGUUCCCGGGCCUUGUACACACCGCCCGUCACGUCACGAAAGUCGGCAACACCCGAAGCCAGUGGCCUAACCACCUUGUGUGGGGGGAGCUGUCGAAGGUGGGGCUGGCGAUUGGGACGAAGUCGUAACAAGGUAGCCGUACCGGAAGGUGCGGCUG